UUCAGGUUCUUUAGAUUUCUUUAAAAAUCCAAUUUUGUUUUCUAAUAAGCAAAAAGUAAAAUCACUUUACCCAUGUUUAUAUGUUAAAUUGCACUUGUCUCUAUCUCUGUUAACACAUUUGUAUUUGUUUGAUUCAUUCUUGUGUCUUUCAGCCUGUUUCUGCCUAUCACCAUGAGUGAUUCCUUUAUACUCAGAUUUAUUAUCAAGAUCUCAAUUAUUAGCUCAAGUCUUGAUGACAACUUGAUGAUCUGCAGGAAGCACCACCAUGUAAGGAAGGCCAAGACCACUCUGGAAUCAGUCAAGGGUGAAAUGGAAAGAGGCAUACAAGGAUAUGUGUGGUUUUACUCUUGGGAAGGAGGUUGAACAGUGCAAUAUUUCUUCUAUAGGAUUGCAGUGACCAGACAUGCUACUGUAACUCUCAUGGUCAUGUGCUGGAAUUAGCAGAUAUUCAACAAUUUGGCCAUCUCGCUGACCUAUUGAUAUCAGAAGACCGCAGCAGCUCUGCAAAGCAAGUUGCAAAACAGAAUCCAUGAAACUGGCAGUGACUGGAAACCAAUUGGAAGACUUUGGUCUGUGAUGUAGAGAAGUGGGCAGAGGCAGAAGCAAAGACAACAAAAAACAGAAGUGAUAUGGAUGUCUUCGUCAUAUGGCAUGACUCUGCUGACCCAGCAACAAUAAGGAGGGUGUUCAACAUCAUCCUGCUAGUCAGGAUUCUUCAGGAGAAGCAGUGGAUUCUUGUGGCAGAGAUGGCCAACCACUAUAAAUACCUUUCAACUCAUCCUGGUUCCUUCAAAGAACUUUCCUGCUUGUUUGCUACUGAAAAGUACUGAUUCGACAUGUGGCCUAAACAAAGAGGGGUUAAAAGGUCUAUGGAUCAUCAUUCUCAGAAAGCAACAAAAUAACUGAGAAAUAAACAACAAUACGAUGGUGCAAUCUAGAGACCUGCAAGGUACCUGCAAGUUUUGGCUGGAGCAGAGAACAUAGAUUUUUUAAAAUAAAGCUCCAGCUGAUGAGUAUGACAUUGACUGUGGAUUUUCUUUUACUGUAAUCCAGAACAGGAUGACCUUAACCCUGAAUCUAAAGCAUGUAAUAAAAUCUGUAAAAAUAAAAUAAAAUUUUCAUCAUCUAUAA
ensembl:processed_transcript